AUGUUUGUGUGUUGCAUAUUAAAUGUGUGUCUGUUGUGUUUCAGUCGUGUGUCAGUCAUGUUUCAGUCGUGUGUCAGUCGUGUGUCUGUUGUGUUUCAGUUGUUUCAGUUGUGUGUCAGUCGUGUGUCUGUUGUGUUUCAGUCGUGUGUCAGUCGUGUCUUUUGUGUUUCAGUUGUUUCAGUCGUGUGUCUGUUGUGUUUCAGUCGUGUGUCUGUUGUGUUUCAGUCAUGUGUCAGUCAUGUUUCAGUCGUGUGUCAGUCGUGUGUCUGUUGUGUUUCAGUUGUUUCAGUCGUGUGUCUGUUGUGUUCCAGUCGUGUGUCUGUUGUGUUUCAGUUGUUUCAGUCGUGUGUCAGUCGUGUGUCUGUUGUGUUUCAGUCGUGUGAGUCGUGUGUCUGUUGUGUUUCAGUUGUUUCAGUCGUGUGUCUGUUGUGUUUCAGUCGUGUGUCAGUCGUGUGUCUGUUGUGUUUCAGUUGUUUCAGUCGUGUGUCUGUUGUGUUUCAGUCGUGUGUCUGUUGUGUUUCAGUUGUUUCAGUCGUGUGUCAGUUGUGUGUCUGUUGUGUUUCAGUCGUGUGUCUGUUGUGUUUCAGUUGUUUCAGUCGUGUGUCAGUCGUGUGUCUGUCGUGUGUCUGUUGUGUGUCAGUCGUGUAUCAGUUGUGUCUGUCGUGUGUCAGUUGUUUCAGUCGUGUGUCAGUUGUGUGUCUGUUGUGUGUCUGUUGUGUGUCAGUCGUGUCUGUUGUGUUUCAGUCGUGUGUCUGUUGUGUUUCAGUCGUGUGUCAGUCGUGUGUCUGUUGUGUGUCAGUCGUGUGUCAGUCGUGUGUCUGUCGUGUGUCAGUUGUUUCAGUCGUGUGUCUGUUGUGUGUCUGUCGUGUGUCAGUUGUUUCAGUCGUGUGUCAGUCGUGUGUCUGUCGUGUGUCAGUCGUGUGUCUGUUGUGUGUCUGUCGUGUGUCAGUUGUUUCAGUCGUGUGUCUGUUGUGUGUCUGUUGUGUGUCAGUCGUGUGUCUGUUGUGUGUCAGUCGUGUCUGUUGUGUUUCAGUCGUGUGUCUGUUGUGUUUCAGUCGUGUCUGUUGUGUUUCAGUCGUGUGUCUGUUGUGUUUCAGUCGUGUGUCUGUCGUGUGUCAGUCGUGUAUCUGUUGUGUUUCAGUCGUGUGUCUGUUGUGUGUCAGUCGUGUGUCAGUUGUGUUUCAGUCGUGUGUCAGUUGUGUGUCUGUUGUGUGUCUGUCGUGUGUCAGUUGUUUCAGUCGUGUGUCAGUCGUGUGUCUGUUGUGUGUCUGUUGUGUGUCUGUCGUGUGUCUGUCGUGUAUCUGUCGUGUGUCAGUAGUGUGUCAGUUGUGUGUCUGUUGUGUGUCUGUCGUGUGUCAGUUGUUUCAGUCGUGUGUCAGUCGUGUGUCUGUUGUGUGUCUGUUGUGUGUCUGUCGUGUGUCAGUUGUUUCAGUCGUGUGUCAGUCGUGUGUCAGUUGUGUGUCUGUUGUGUGUCUGUCAUGUGUCAGUAGUGUGUCAGUUGUGUGUCUGUUGUGUGUCUGUCAUGUGUCAGUUGUUUCAGUCGUGUGUCAGUCGUGUGUCUGUUGUGUGUCUGUCGUGUGUCUGUUGUGUUUCAGUCGUGUGUCAGUCGUGUGUCUGUUGUGUGUCUGUCGUGUGUCAGUCGUGUGUCUGUCGUGUAUCUGUCGUGUGUCAGUAGUGUGUCAGUUGUGUGUCUGUUGUGUGUCUGUCGUGUGUCAGUUGUUUCAGUCCUGUGUCAGUCGUGUGUCUGUUGUGUGUCUGUCGUGUGUCAGUUGUUUCAGUCGUGUGUCAGUCGUGUGUCUGUUGUGUGUCUGUUGUGUGUCAGUAGUGUGUCUGUCGUGUAUCUGUCGUGUGUCAGUAGUGUGUCAGUUGUGUGUCUGUUGUGUGUCUGUCGUGUGUCAGUUGUUUCAGUCGUGUGUCAGUCAUGUGUCUGUUGUGUGUCUGUUGUGUGUCUGUCGUGUGUCAGUUGUUUCAGUCGUGUGUCAGUCGUGUGUCAGUUGUGUGUCUGUUGUGUGUCUGUCAUGUGUCAGUAGUGUGUCAGUUGUGUGUCUGUUGUGUGUCUGUCAUGUGUCAGUUGUUUCAGUCGUGUGUCAGUCGUGUGUCUGUUGUGUGUCUGUCGUGUGUCAGUUGUUUCAGUCGUGUGUCUGUCGUGUGUCAGUCGUGUGUCUGUUGUGUGUCAGUCGUGUGUCUGUCGUGUUUCAGUGGUGUGUCAGUUGUGUGUCAGUCGUGUUUCAGUCGUGUGUCUGUUGUGUGUCAGUCGUGUUUCAGUCGUGUGUCUGUUGUGUUUCAGUCGUGUGUGUGUCGUGUGUCUGUUGUGUUUCAGUCGUGUGUCUGUUGUGUGUCUGUUGUGUGUCAGUCGUGUGUCAGUUGUGUGUCAGUCGUGUGUCAGUUGUGUGUCAGUCGUGUGUCUGUUGUGUGGCAGUUGUAUGCUGGUUGCAUUGA
ensembl:lncRNA